rnacentral:lncRNA from 1 species
CACUGCUCCUAGUUACCUUAAAUAUCAAGGAUGAACACCUUCUGCUGAGCAGGAGCCCCCCAUUCAAACGCAUCUACUUAAGAGCAGAAUCAAGACAAUCAAGUUUCCAGGAGAAUCAACCUGACAAAGCCCAGUACCAAGGCUAUAUGUUCCUUGUACCAAGAACCACCCAACCAGGAAAGCAAUGGUCAGAAGAAAAUUAGAAAAUUUAAAAAUGGAAUUUCUCAGCACAGCAGAAUUCCUUCGCAAAAAUAAAACAUGAAAAUAAGACUGCAAUCAAAGUAAGCUUCUGAGUGACGCAUUUGUUAACCAAGCAAGGAAAGCCUUUCACCGAGGGAAUUUACAGCUCUUCUCUGAAAGCAGCAGAGGACCACAGCCAAUCCCCGACACCAAGUCUGUUCACACCAUCUCUGGACUUCCUGGUUCCCCCGACCCAGCUACCCUGUUCCAAAGAAGGAAUAAGACCAGUGGACAACCAAUCAACUGAAAAAGCCAGGUAAAUUCUGUAUUUAUCCCAUAAAAAUCCCUUAGUCUGUGAGCAACUCGGAACUCAUUGCUCCCAUAGCCUGAGUUUCCCAGCUGGCCGGUCAAAAGCCUUUCUGCUUUGUUUUAUUCACUACACGGUCUGGCUUUUGACACUUGCUUCUUUAAAAACUUGAAAUAGAAUUAUAAAAGCACUUAAGACAGUAGCUAAAAUGUGAGCAGUACUUUCAAGAGCAUUAAUACUUACAGAAGAAACAAUUUUGUAAGUAGUUUGAUGUGGUCCAUGUUUAAUUUCAAUCUCUUUAUUAUUCUGGCUGCACAUAACCCCUGAAUCAGAGUGCCUAUGAUCAGAAACAUACCAAAAUUCCGAACAGCAAGACUAAGAGGAGACCAAUGAGGUAGAGAGGGUGUAGAAAACUAACAGUUGGUCUAGAAACUCUGAGUUAGAUGGCAGGGGAAAGAAAAGUGGAAGCAGAAGGGACAGAAACAAAGAGAAGCUGAGUCGUCACAGUGGCAGAACAUUGCACAGAGAGCAACAGACGUCUACUCUUAAGGGACAAAAUGAUAAGAUUGAUGGAGCUGCUUCUUAUCAGAAUAGCUUUUAAGUGCUCAUGGAGGCCUGUGUGUCCUGUUCCUUAGCUCUGUGGCUGAUGAGAUUAUUUUGUUCUUUCUCUGUUUUUCAUAUGUUCUUACAACACAAACCAUCAACUGAGGCAACCUGAAGAUGUAUCUGCUCCUUACAACCUACAAGAAGCUAACUGGCGUAGACAAAUAUUUGGGUUGUAUCCAAAAAAAAUCACUGUGAUAACCAGCCUAAAAGAUAAAUCUUUGUCUGUGAUUAAUGUUAUUUCCUUAGGACUGAGCUCUAGAAUAAAAAUUGAGAGGUCAGGGGCCGGCCCAGUGGUGCAGCAGUUAGGUUUGCGCGUUCCGCUUCGGCAUCCUGGGGUUCCCUGGUUCGGAUCCUGGGUGCAGAUAUGGCACUGCUUGGCAAGCCAUGCUGUGGUAGGCAUCCCACAUAUAAAAAAAGUAGAGGAAGAUGGGCACAGAUGUUAGCUCAGGGCCAGUCUUCCUCAGUGAAAAGAGGAGGAUUGGCAGCAGUUAGCUCAGGGCUAAUCUUCCUCAAAAAAAAAAAUUUACAGGUCAAAGGGUAAAGAACUUUUUGAAUACUUCCAAACAGC